UACGAAGGGGGCUAGCGUUGCUCGGAAUCACUGGGCGUAAAGGGCGCGUAGGCGGCCAUUCAAGUCAGAGGUGAAAGCCCAAGGCUCAACCUUGGAAUUGCCUUUGAUACUGUUUGGCUUGAGACCGGAAGAGGUUAGUGGAACUGCGGGUGUAGAGGUGAAAUUCGUAGAUAUUCGCAAGAACACCAGUGGCGAAGGCGGCUAACUGGUCCGGUUCUGACGCUGAGGCGCGAAAGCGUGGGGAGCAAACAGG
rnacentral:rRNA from 1 species